CCUACGGGAGGCUGCAGUGGGGAAUAUUGCACAAUGGGCGCAAGCCUGAUGCAGCCAUGCCGCGUGUGUGAAGAAGGCCUUCGGGUUGUAAAGCACUUUCAGCGGGGAGGAAGGCGUUAAGGUUAAUAACCUUGGCGAUUGACGUUACCCGCAGAAGAAGCACCGGCUAACUCCGUGCCAGCAGCCGCGGUAAUACGGAGGGUGCAAGCGUUAAUCGGAAUUACUGGGCGUAAAGCGCACGCAGGCGGUCUGUCAAGUCGGAUGUGAAAUCCCCGGGCUCAACCUGGGAACUGCAUUCGAAACUGGCAGGCUAGAGUCUUGUAGAGGGGGGUAGAAUUCCAGGUGUAGCGGUGAAAUGCGUGGAGAUCUGGAGGAAUACCGGUGGCGAAGGCGGCCCCCUGGACAAAGACUGACGCUCAGGUGCGAAAGCGUGGGGAGCAAACAGGAUUAGAUACCCCAGUAGUC
rnacentral:rRNA from 1 species